rnacentral:rRNA from 1 species
CCUACGUGAUGCAGCAGUGGGGAAUAUUGGACAAUGGGCGAAAGCCUGAUCCAGCCAUGCCGCGUGUGUGAAGAAGGCCUUCGGGUUGUAAAGCACUUUCAGUGGGGAAGAAAGCCUUGGGGCUAAUACCCUCGAGGAAGGACAUCACCCACAGAAGAAGCACCGGCUAACUCCGUGCCAGCAGCCGCGGUAAUACGGAGGGUGCGAGCGUUAAUCGGAAUUACUGGGCGUAAAGCGCGCGUAGGCGGUCUGAUAAGCCGGUUGUGAAAGCCCCGGGCUCAACCUGGGAACGGCAUCCGGAACUGUCAGGCUAGAGUGCAGGAGAGGAAGGUAGAAUUCCCGGUGUAGCGGUGAAAUGCGUAGAGAUCGGGAGGAAUACCAGUGGCGAAGGCGGCCUUCUGGACUGACACUGACGCUGAGGUGCGAAAGCGUGGGUAGCAAACAGGAUUAGAUACCCGUGUAGUC